AGACUCCUACGGGAGGCAGCAGUAAGGAAUAUUGGUCAAUGGGCGGAAGCCUGAACCAGCCAUGCCGCGUGCAGGAAGACGGCCCUACGGGUUGUAAACUGCUUUUGCACGGGAAUAAACCCCGGUACGUGUACCGGGUUGAAUGUACUGUGAGAAUAAGGAUCGGCUAACUCCGUGCCAGCAGCCGCGGUAAUACGGAGGAUCCAAGCGUUAUCCGGAUUUAUUGGGUUUAAAGGGUGCGUAGGCGGCCUUUUAAGUCAGGGGUGAAAGACGGUAGCUUAACUAUCGCAGUGCCUUUGAUACUGAUGGGCUUGAAUGUACUAGAGGUAGGCGGAAUGUGACAAGUAGCGGUGAAAUGCAUAGAUAUGUCACAGAACACCAAUUGCGAAGGCAGCUUACUAUGGUUUAAUUGACGCUGAGGCACGAAAGCGUGGGGAUCAAACAGGAUUAGAUACCCUGGUAGUCCACGCCCUAAACGAUGAACACUCGAUGUUAGCGAUAUACAGUUAGCGUCUAAGCGAAAGCGUUAAGUGUUCCACCUGGGGA
rnacentral:rRNA from 1 species